GGACCUUGGGUGGGUGGUUACACAUGCAGUCGAGCGCUCCGCAAGGGGAGCGGCAGACGGGUGAGUAACGCGUGGGAAUCUACCCUUUUCUACGGAAUAACGCAGGGAAACUUGUGCUAAUACCGUAUGAGCCCUUCGGGGGAAAGAUUUAUCGGGAAAGGAUGAGCCCGCGUUGGAUUAGCUAGUUGGUUGGGUAAAGGCCUACCAAGGCGACGAUCCAUAGCUGGUCUGAGAGGAUGAUCAGCCACAUUGGGAACUGACACAGGGCCCAAACUCCUACGGGAGGCAGCAGUGGGGAAUAUUGGACAAUGGGCGCAAGCCUGAUCCAGCCAUGCCGCGUGAGUGAUGAAGGCCCUAGGGUCGUAAAGCUCUUUCACCGGUGAAGAUAAUGACGGUAACCGGGAGAAGAAGCCCCGGGAUAACUUCGUGCCAGCAGCCGCGGUAAUACGAAGGGGGGCUAGCGUUGUUCGGAAUUACUGGGCGUAAAGCGCACGUAGGCGGAUUGUUAAGUGAGGGGUGAAAUCCCAGGGCUCAACCCUGGAAUUGCCUUUCAUACUGGCAAUCUAGAGUCCAGAGAGGUGAGUGGAAUUCCGAGUGUAGAGGUGAAAUUCGUAGAUAUUCGGAGGAACACCAGUGGCGAAGGCGGCUCACUGGUCUGGACUGACGCUGAGUGCGAAAGCGUGGGGGAGCAAACAGGGAUUAGGAUACCCUGGUAGUCCACCGCCGUAACGAUGUAUUGUAGCCGUCGGGCAGUUUACUGUUCGGUGGCGCAGCUACGCAUAAACAUCCGCCUGGG
rnacentral:rRNA from 1 species